UGGGAGUGAAUGUACGCUCACUGGGCUGGAGUUAUUUGAACAUCCGGUCCUUCAGUUUUUUGAAAAGAAGACGGACGCCAUUGAAGUUCAGCGCGGGAUAUGAAAAGGGUCGGCACCGUGGACUAAAAAAGUAUCUCAAACUGCAGCCUGUUCUUUUGAAAGUUUCAUUGAAGAAUUUGCGCUAGUAGAUUCUUCUACUCCAAAUUCCUCACUUUUGAGUGGAGUGGUAUGGGGUGAUAUGGACUCUUCAAACAAGGCACAUCAAUCCACUGGUGCAGGAGGCGAGAACACCUGCCACAGGAGAUGCAGCAGAGAAGG